UACAGAGGGUGCGAGCGUUGUCCGGAAUCACUGGGCGUAAAGGGCGCGUAGGCGGCUUGAUAAGCGUGCGGUGAAAGCCCGGGGCUCAACCCCGGGUCGGCCGUGCGAACUGUCGAGCUGGAGCACUGUAGAGGCAGGUGGAAUUCCUGGUGUAGCGGUGGAAUGCGCAGAUAUCAGGAGGAACACCAAUAGCGAAGGCAGCUCGCUGAGACGGUACUGACGCUAAGGCGCGAAAGCGUGGGGAGCGAACAGG
rnacentral:rRNA from 1 species